UACGUAGGGGCAAGCGUUGUCCGGAUUUAUUGGGCGUAAAGAGCGUGUAGGCGGCCAGAUAGGUCAGCUGUGAAAACUCGAGGCUCAACCUCGAGAUGUCGGCUGAAACCAUCUGGCUAGAGUCCGGAAGAGGAGAAUGGAAUUCCCGGUGUAGCGGUGAAAUGCGCAGAUAUCGGGAAGAACACCCGUGGCGAAGGCGGUUCUCUGGGACGGUACUGACGCUGAGGAGCGAAAGCGUGGGGAGCGAACAGG
rnacentral:rRNA from 1 species